AACGUAGGUGGCGAGCGUUAUCCGGAUUUACUGGGCGUAAAGGGUGUGCAGGCGGGCUGUUAAGUGGUGUAUGAAAUAUCCCGGCUCAACCGGGAGAGGUUAUGCCAGACUGGCAGUCUAGAGAGCGAGAGAGGGACGUGGAAUUCCGGGUGUAGUGGUGAAAUGCGUAGAGAUCCGGAGGAACCCAGAGGCGAAGGCGGCGUCCUGGCUCGCAUCUGACGCUCAGACACGACAGCAUGGGGAGCGAACGGG
rnacentral:rRNA from 1 species